UUCCGCUGACCGCGGCCGCGCGGCAGGAUGGGUGCUGGGCCGCCAAAGCGGUCUUUGUGGGUGUCACUUCCAGUCCUCCGACCGGCGUGGUCACCCUGCAGGGCAGCAUCAGGUUGGACCGUGGACGCUCUUUGACCUGUGAGCACCGUAGUUCCAGAACCAAGGGGACGAGAAAUGCAAGCUUUAGUUUACCUGUUUGUAGCACACGAGGCAAAGCUCUCUCCUCCGAACCCUCCUCUGUUAGUCUGCAGGUCUCUGGACCGAGAGGAGCCACACCUAAGGACCAGCAUCCGACCUAGUAUAGACCACGAUACCCUGGACUUUAAACCUAGUCCUGGGACCAGAUGAGACCUUGGGGGAUCUUGGGAGGAGACUGCUGCUGCUGCUGCUAAGUCACUUCAGUCGUGUCUGACCCUGUGCGACCCCA